rnacentral:rRNA from 1 species
CAGUCGCCGCGGGAAUACGAAGGUCCCAAGCGUUGUUCGGAAUCACUGGGCGUAAAGGGAGCGUAGGCGGCGUGGUAAGUCAGAUGUGAAAUCCCGGGGCUCAACCCCGGAACUGCAUUUGAUACUGCCAUGCUUGAGGGUUGGAGAGGUAGCUGGAAUUCUUGGUGUAGCAGUGAAAUGCGUGGAUAUCAAGAGGAACACUCGUGGCGAAGGCGAGCUACUGGACAACAUCUGACGCUGAGGCUCGAAGGCUAGGGUAGCGAAAGGGAUUAGAUACCCCUGUAGUCCCUGUCUCUUAUAC